rnacentral:lncRNA from 1 species
GUGGGCCGCAGGCCGCAGCAAGCUGUGCUGCCAGGCAGACAGAGCCAGGAUUUGGCUGUCCGUGGGAUCCAACUGCCACCACUGCCCCACCCAGCACAAGCCUCUGGGAGCCGCCGUGCACAGGCGGACAGAAUGGAAGGGAGACGGCCUCUGCCAGCCUUGCCACCUCUCCCACGGCGGGCGCAGUCACUGCCAGCUGCGCCCCGGAAUGCAGCCACUGCUCGGGGACGAGUUCACGCAUUCUCACUGCCAGCAAUAGCUUUCGGGAGUAUCCCAAGAGGCAGAGCUGCCCCUGGUCUUCAGUACCAGGACAUGGCAGCAAGGGUUGAGGGCUGGCAGGAAGAUCUGUCUGUCCGUGCAAUCCCCCUCAAGCCUGCAGAGAGGACACCCAAGUCCCUCAGGUUGGCAUACUGGGUGCGUCUGGGAGCCACACGACCAGGACCCUGGCUGAAGCGAACACGGCCUGGGCGAUGUGCACCCACCAGCACUGUAAGAACACCGGCACGAAGAACCCAGGUGCUGGCCCCCAAGGCUGGGAAAGUCACCUGAGAAUGAGACGCAACGUGCUGCCAGUGCUCAGGAGGACAGCGGAGAUGCUCACAGGGUCUCUACAUCACGCUCCCUGGCAGCAGAGCAGGCAGCAGAGAAGGAAGCAGAGCAGGCAGCAGAGCAGGCAGCAGUGCAGGCAGCAGAGAAGGAAGCAGAGCAGGCAGCAGAGCAGGCAGCAGACGAUGGUGCCAAAGGUGCUGGCACUUCUCAGGCCAUGCUGGAUGCCGAAGACAGCAAAGAGAGGGCCCGCUCUGCCAGGAGAGGGGACAGGUUCCUGCCCUGCUCUCUUUGCUGUUCCACCUACAGCGCUGUUGGCAAAGAUGAGCAGGAUGAGGGGAAAGACACCUCUGGGAGAGACGCUAUGUCAGUGGCAGGAAAGGAGCCUGUGAGCACAUCAUUUCCUGGGGCAGAGUCCCUGCCUCCAGCAUCUCCAGUGCCUGGAAACCUUCAGCAGGAGAUGAGCGAGACAGAGGUGGUAGGCAACGGGCAUGAAGAGGACAGCCUGGAGAUCAGGGACACAUUCACCCACAGCAGCACGCCAGGGGAGGGGAGACAGCCUCUGCCAACUUGUGGACCAUCCCUGUGUGUCCCUGCACCCCCUCUCAAGCCUGCACAUGCCACACGCAAAUCCUACAAUUUGACAUCCAUAAGGCGUCCCGUAGCCACCAGAAAAACCAGCAGGUCCAUGGCAGCGCGCACCCAACAGCAUUAAGGAAACACCAGCACAAGCAGCCCAGGUGCUGGCCCCCCAGGCUGGGAGCAGCCCCACACGUCGGAUACCACCAGCUCCCAGUGCUUAUCUUUCCUGUUUGUGUACACAUUGCUUCUCACCUAGCAUUUAGAUGACCAUCCCGUACAGGGAUUCCUAAUUUGGCUAAAUCUGGCUUUUCAAUCUGGAACUGAAGAAGCAGUAUAUGUAUUCUCUACAGCACAGAUAACAUACUUUGCUUCCUCUGUUCCUCUGAUUUCGGUUUCCAAAAGUACAAUAAAAUUAUUGAGUUCCAUUUUAAAUUUUCCA